rnacentral:misc_RNA from 1 species
AACGCACCUUGCGCUCCUUGGUAUUCCGAGGAGCAUGCCUGUUUGAGUGUCAUGGUAUUCUCAACUCAUUCAAUAUUGUCAAAGAUAUUGAACUGAGCUUGGAUGUGGAGGAUAUUUGCUGGCCGUCACCAUCUUGUGAAUCAGCUCCUCUGAAAUGCAUUAGUGUGAAUGAACUACCUAGCAUUCCCUCAGUGUGAUAAUUAUCUACGCUGUGCGUCUUGGGUAAAUCAUGCUUCCUAACGGUCCGCAAAUGUGGACAAUAUCUUAUUUUGACAUCUGACCUCAAAUCAGGUAGGAUUACCCGCUGAACUUAA